CCUACGGGAGGCAGCAGUGGGGAAUAUUGCACAAUGGGGGAAACCCUGAUGCAGCGACGCCGCGUGAGUGAAGAAGCGCCUCGGCGCGUAAAGCUCUGUCAGCAGGAACGACGAUGACGGUACCUGAAGAUGAAGCCCCGGCUAACUACGUGCCAGCAGCCGCGGUAAUACGUAGGGGGCAAGGGUUAUCCGGAAUUACGGGGGGUAAAGGGAGCGUAGACGGCGGGGCAAGUCUGGAGUGAAAGGCCGGGGCCCAACCCCGGGACCGCUCUGGAAACUGCCCGGCUGGAGUGCAGGAGAGGUAAGCGGAAUUCCUAGUGUAGCGGUGAAAUGCGUAGAUAUUAGGAGGAACACCAGCGGCGAAGGCGGCUUACUGGACCGUGACUGACGUUGAGGCUCGAAAGCGUGGGGAGCAAACAGGAUUAGAUACCCGAGUAGUC
rnacentral:rRNA from 1 species